rnacentral:rRNA from 1 species
GCUGGUUGCCCGUGAAUGAAUAUUAGUUCUCCCUUAAUUUUACCCCCUAGACUCGAUUACUUGCUCGUAGCAAAUUAAGAGUAAUUUAAAGGAGGUACAGCUCCUUUAAAACAGAACACAAUCUCCCCCAGAGGAUAAGCCAAAGUACUUCCAAACUUGUAGGCCUUUAAGCAGCCACCAACAAAGAAUGCGUCAAAGCUCCUCACACCAAAAAUAUAAAACUCUACGCGACUCCCUCACCCAUAAUGGGCUAACCUAUCAAAUAUAGGAGCAUUAAUGCUAAAAUAAGUAACUAAGGACCUUCCUUCUAAAGCACAAACUUACAUUUUUCACAUUAUUAACAGGCCCACUAAUAGACUAAUCACUACAAGACUGCCUAUCUAAUACCCUGUUAAACCAACCCAGGAGUGCUCAACUAGAAAGAUUCAAACCUGUAAAAGGAACUAGGCAAACCCAAGGCCCGACUGUUUACCAAAAACAUAGCCUUCAGCAAAACAACCAAGUAUUGAAGGUGAUGCCUGCCCAGUGACAUUAAGUUCAACGGCCGCGGUAUCCUAACCGUGCAAAGGUAGCGCAAUCAAUUGUCCCAUAAAUCGAGACUUGUAUGAACGGCCAAACGAGGUCUUAACUGUCUCUUACAGGUAAUCAGUGAAAUUGAUCUCCCCGUGCAAAAGCAGGGAUAAACUCAUAAGACGAGAAGACCCUGUGGAACUUAAAAACCAACAGCCACUCUAAAAACUCAAACCCCCAUAGGGCCUACUACCAAUAGACGAUUGGCUCACAUUUUUCGGUUGGGGCGACCUUGGAGAAAAACGUAUCCUCCAAAAAUAAGACCAUCCAUCCUAACCAAGAUCAACCACUCAAAGUGCUAACAGUAACCAGACCCAGUAUAACUGACUAAUGAACCAAGCUACCCCAGGGAUAACAGCGCAAUCCCCUUCAAGAGCCCAUAUCGACAGGGGGGUUUAC